CUGCUUCCUGAGCUGGUCCCUUGGAGAGUUUAUGUGCUAACAUUAGGUAAUAUUUAGCACUGUGGACUCACUACUGGCACACAGGUAAACAGCCGAAUCCUGCAGCUCCGCAAGCUGAAUCUCCAGGCUACAUGGAUAUCCUUUAGGGCACUCAGCUAAAAAUCUCUCCUUAGGCAUCCCUGUUUUGUCAAAGACCUUGUCAUUCUGGAAAGAAAUCAAGAAUUUGAACUCUUUUUUCAAGAUCUGUUGAUACCAAUAAACAUAGUUGUGUCCUUUUAGUGGGACACAAUCCAUUUUCACAUUCUGUCCUUUCCCUUUGACCAGAUGCCCUGGAGUCUGGAUGACUUCUUCUUUAAGAGAGCCUGAAAGGGAAGUAGACAGAGGUUGGAGGCUGAGCCCUGGAGGGAGUCUGAGGAGAUGGAGGAAGCCUUAGGUCAGGGCCUGAUGAGUUCAGAAGAGAAACUCGCCUGUAGCCAGGAAGCACAGCAUUAUGAAGCAGAUUAUGAGUGAUCAUUUCCCAACAGCAAGAGAUUAUGGAAGAGAUGUCUUGUGCAGCGGAAGAGAAGAAAAAGGCAGAGAAAUCUAACUAAAUGAGAUAAGGGAGGUGUGUAAAAUGUGGGAAACAAUGAAAAAUUUUGUAGAAAACACUACCCGAAUAAGGCCACAGUAGUGCAAACCAUAAGUCUGUCGAACAACAAUGUAAUGUUACAUUUCUGUAAAAUCCUCAAAAGGAGGCAACAGCAAAUGUCAUUGGAUAGGUUCCUUACUAAAGCUGAAUGAAAAUAAAAAUAUUCUACUGAGCCACUAAAUAGCAAUGAUUCCAUUAGUGAUAGUGAAAGUCAUCAGUACACA
rnacentral:lncRNA from 1 species